GACGAACGCUGGCGGCAUGCCUAAUACAUGCAAGUUGAACGAUGAUAUUCUCUGCUUGCAGAGAAUUGAAGAGUAGCGAACGGGUGAGUAACACGUGGGGAACCUGCCCAUGAGAGGGGGAUAACAUUCGGAAACGGAUGCUAAUACCGCAUAAUGCUUUGGACCGCCUGGUCCAGAGACGAAAGACGGCUUUUGCUGUCACUCAUGGAUGGCCCCGCGCCGUAUUAGCUAGUUGGUGAGGUAAUGGCUCACCAAAGCUGUGAUACGUAGCCGACCUGAGAGGGUGAUCGGCCACACUGGGACUGAGACACGGCCCAGACUCCUACGGGAGGCAGCAGUAGGGAAUCUUCCACAAUGGGCGAAAGCCUGAUGGAGCAAUGCCGCGUGAAUGAAGAAGGUCUUCGGAUCGUAAAGUUCUGUUAUUAGGGAAGAACAAGUCAAGGAGUAACUGUCUUGACUUUGACGGUACCUAACCAGAAAGUCACGGCUAACUACGUG
rnacentral:rRNA from 1 species